UACGGGGGGGGCAAGCGUUGUUCGGAAUUACUGGGCGUAAAGGGCUCGUAGGUGGCCAACUAAGUCAGACGUGAAAUCCCUCGGCUUAACCGGGGAACUGCGUCUGAUACUGGAUGGCUUGAGUUCGGGAGAGGGAUGCGGAAUUCCAGGUGUAGCGGUGAAAUGCGUAGAGAUCAUGAGGAAGACCAGUGGCGAAGGCGGGUCUCUGGUCUGUAACUGACGCUGAGGCGCGAAAGCGUGGGGAGCAAACAGG
rnacentral:rRNA from 1 species